GGACAAGGCGGGUGACCCAUCUCCCCUCAAUACUCCAUGUGUGUCCCUCCCACAGCUUCCUACCGGGUCAAAGAGGAAGACCGCCUCUGAUAGGGGAGGACUGUUCCCCAGUCAAGAGCACAUGAGAAGCUGCGCUCUCCUGCUAGAUCCUCCAAACAAGCUCUCAAGAAAGAGGCAAUGAAGCUAAGUGGCAAAGGUCUAAUAGACUGAACAUACCAGGUAGAGUG
rnacentral:sRNA from 1 species